GAUGAACGCUGGCGGCGUGCCUAAUACAUGCAAGUCGAACGAAACUUCUUUAUCACCGAGUGCUUGCACUCACCGAUAAAGAGUUGAGUGGCGAACGGGUGAGUAACACGUGGGCAACCUGCCCAAAAGGGGGGGAUAACACUUGGAAACAGGUGCUAAUACCGCAUAACCAUAGUUACCGCAUGGUAACUAUGUAAAAGGUGGCUAUACUACCGCUUUUGGAUGGGCCCGCGGCGCAUUAGCUAGUUGGUAGGGUAAAGGCUUACCAAGGCAAUGAUGCGUAGCCGAAUUGAGAGGUUGAUCGGCCACAUUGGGACUGAGACACGGCCCAAACUCCUACGGGAGGCAGCAGUAGGGAAUCUUCCACAAUGGGCGAAAGCCUGAUGGAGCAACGCCGCGUGGGUGAAGAAGGUCUUCGGAUCGUAAAACCCUGUUGUUAGAGAAGAAAGUGCGUGAGAGUAACUGUUCACGUUUCGACGGUAUCUAACCAGAAAGCCACUGCUAACUACGUG
rnacentral:rRNA from 1 species